CUCCACGCACGGGGUCCCCUCCUCAGCCGGAGGGCACCCCAGUUUCACCCACAUGCAAGGGGAACCCUUGAAAACUUCAGGGCUAAGCCCCAUCUCACCUCCAUGCACGGGGUCCUCUCCUCAGCCGGAGGGCACCCCAGUUCUACUUGCAAACAAGGGGAACCCUUGAAAACUUCAGGGCUAAGCCCCAUCUCACCUCCACGCACGGGGUCCUCUCCUCAGCCGGAGGGCACCCCAGUUUGACCCACAUGCAAGGGGAACCCUUGAAAACUUCAGGGCUAAGCCCCAUCUCACCUCC
rnacentral:lncRNA from 1 species